UACGGAGGGUGCAAGCGUUAAUCGGAAUUACUGGGCGUAAAGCGCACGCAGGUGGCUGAGUCAGUCGAUUGUGAAAGCCCUGGGCUUAACCUGGGAAUUGCAGUCGAUACUACUCAGCUAGAGUAUGGGAGAGGGUAGUGGAAUUCCCGGUGUAGCGGUGAAAUGCGUAGAUAUCGGGAGGAACAUCAGUGGCGAAGGCGGCUACCUGGCCCAAUACUGACACUCAGGGACGAAAGCUAGGGGAGCGAAUGGG
rnacentral:rRNA from 1 species